UACGUAGGGGGCUAGCGUUGUCCGGAUUUAUUGGGCGUAAAGAGUGUGUAGGCGGCCAGGUAGGUCUGCUGUGAAAACUCGAGGCUCAACCUCGAGACGUCGGCGGAAACCAUCUGGCUAGAGUCCGGAAGAGGAGAGUGGAAUUCCUGGUGUAGCGGUGAAAUGCGCAGAUAUCAGGAAGAACACCCGUGGCGAAAGCGGCUCUCUGGAACGGUACUGACGCUGAGACGCGAAAGCGUGGGGAGCGAACAGG
rnacentral:rRNA from 1 species